rnacentral:lncRNA from 1 species
CGCCAUUCCCCUAUACAUUGUAUGUCAGUAUAUGUAGGUCCAAUAUUAUCCAUUCAUUCAUCUCCAACAUCGACAUCUCCUCGGUAGAGAAACGCCUAGCUAGGCAUGGGAAGCACAUGGAAUGCAUAUAUUUGUUGCUAUAACAUGUCCCAAGCUUGAUUGGGCUGGUGAUGUUGUGGCAAGAGGUCUUUUCAAACAAGGUUGAUGAAUUUGCCACCACUCACGUUUGUAGCACGUUUAGAAAGGAUGUAGUAAGUUACAUUUCGUAGGUGGAUGCACAUAUUAUCCAUGUAAGUGAAUAGGGCAAAGAUCAAGAAAGCUUUGCUCACGAAAUGCAAAUCAUCAUGAAUGCAAUGGACAAAAACUUGAAAACUGGAGGAUACAACAAGAUUAAUUG